rnacentral:rRNA from 1 species
UGAGGAAUUUUGCGCAAUGGGGGAAACCCUGACGCAGCAACGCCGCGUGAGUGAAGAAGGCCCUUGGGUCGUAAAGCUCUGUCGACAGGGAAGAAGUUAACAACAUCCAACAGGUGUUGUUAUUGACGGUACCUGUAGAGGAAGCACCGGCUAACUCCGUGCCAGCAGCCGCGGUAACACGGGGGGUGCAAGCGUUAUUCGGAAUUAUUGGGCGUAAAGGGCGCGUAGGCGGUCUUGUCGGUCAGAUGUGAAAGCCCGGGGCUCAACCCCGGACGUGCAUUUGAAACAGCAAGACUUGAAUACUGGAGAGGAAAGCGGAAUUCCUGGUGUAGAGGUGAAAUUCGUAGAUAUCAGGAGGAACACCGAUGGCGAAGGCAGCUUUCUGGACAGAUAUUGACGCUGAGGCGCGAAGGCGUGGGUAGCGAACA